GACGAACGCUGGCGGCGUGCUUAACACAUGCCAGUCGAACGGAAAGGCCCUGCUUUUGUGGGGUGCUCGAGUGGCGAAAGGGUGAGUAACACGUGAGUAACCUGCCCUUGACUUUGGGAUAACUUCAGGAAACUGGGGCUAAUACCGGAUAGGAGCUCCUGCUGCAUGGUGGGGGUUGGAAAGUUUCGGCGGUGUGGGAUGGACUCGCGGCUUAUCAGCUUGUUGGUGGGGUAGUGGCUUACCAAGGCUUUGACGGGUAGCCGGCCUGAGAGGGUGACCGGCCACAUUGGGACUGAGAUACGGCCCAGACUCCUACGGGAGGCAGCAGUGGGGAAUAUUGCACAAUGGGCGGAAGCCUGAUGCAGCAACGCCGCGUGCGGGAUGACGGCCUUCGGGUUGUAAACCGCUUUCGCCUGUGACGAAGCGUGAGUGACGGUAAUGGGUAAAGAAGCACCGGCUAACUACGUG
rnacentral:rRNA from 1 species